AGUGAACGCUGGCGGCGUGCCUAAUACAUGCAAGUCGAACGGAAUUUAAAAGAGCUUGCCCUUUUAAAUUUAGUGGCGCACGGGUGAGUAAUAUAUAGCUAAUCUGCCCCUUGCUGGAGGACAACAGUUAGAAAUGACUGCUAAUACUCCAUACUCCUUUUUACCAUAAGAUAAAUCGGGAAAGAAUUUCGGCAAGGGAUGAGACUAUAUCGUAUCAGCUAGUCGGUGGGGUAACGGCCUACCGAGGCUAUGACGCGUAACUGGUCUGAGAGGAUGAUCAGUCACAUUGGGACUGAGACACGGUCCAAGCUCCUACGGGAGGCAGCAGUAGGGAAUAUUGCGCGAUGGGGGAAACCCUGACGCAGCAACGCCGCGUGGAGGAUGACACUUUUCGGAGCGUAAACUCCUUUUGUUAGGGAAGAAUAAGACGGUACCUAAC
rnacentral:rRNA from 1 species